rnacentral:rRNA from 1 species
UACGGAGGGUGCGAGCGUUAUCCGGAUUCACUGGGUUUAAAGGGUGCGUAGGCGGCUUUGUAAGUCAGUGGUGAAAUAUGGCAGCUCAACUGUCAAGGUGCCAUUGAUACUGCGGAGCUUGAGUACAGAUGAGGUAGGCGGAAUUGACGGUGUAGCGGUGAAAUGCUUAGAUAUCGUCAAGAACACCUAUAGCGAAGGCAGCUUACUAGGCUGUAACUGACGCUGAGGCACGAAAGUGUGGGGAUCAAACAGG